UCUUCGAAGCCUGCUUCGAGGCGGGGCGGUUUCCGAAGCAGUGAAAGACGGGCAGACUCGUCCUGCUGAGGAAGGACGGGCACCCUGCAAACUCGCUUGCGGGGUAUCGCCCCAUCGUGUUGUUGGACGAGGCGGGAAAAUUGCUCGAGGAAGCGGGUGGUGGCCGCCCGCCUUGUUCGGUACGUGACUGGGGUGAGUCUCGACCGAACCUCAAUUCGAGCCCAGCACGUCGGGCCGCAUAGACUGUGCCGCUGUUGUUCCGGAAUACCCCGCUGGACUGGCUCCACUCCGGUGGCAAGCGGUGCGAUGGUAAAAACGAGAUAAUGAUAUCAUCUCAAACAAUUCCUCAGAGCACUCCCCAUGGAACAUACGGUACAAAAUAUAGAGGGAACCGAAGUCCCUCCGCAGACCCAGAAGUCCCAAACGAUUCGUGAGAAUGGGAUUAUCGAUAAUCCGAACGGCCCUCCUCUGUAUGGAGUCAAAUGUAAGAAGCUGGUAUUUGGGAGCCCCGGCCCAGAGAUGGGAGCAGUACUCCACGCGAGGUCGGACUUGUGCUUUAUAAAGCAAAAGUCUUUGUCCAGGUGGUCCAGGCCUGAAGUACUGCUUCGCUCUUUUGAGGACUCCCAGCAUUUUGGACGGCAACUUGGCUUUGCCUUCCAAACGACUCUGAAAUAGGACAUCUCUCGAAAUGUCGACCCCAAGUAUCCCGAUACUCUCCUUAGCAGCGCGUUAGAGCGCUGGUAGCGCACCGCGCAGCCUCAUCCCCCUCAGGUCGCCCCAUGACCUUACCGGGGGGAAGCCGCCUCCUACCGGGGUCGGAACGUACGCUCGUACUGUCUCCUCUGUCCCCCGGGUCGACAGCGACGGAUCAAUGCGGAGAAACGGAGCGGAAGAGCUCUCCCACUCUCGUUCCACCGCCUCCUUCUACGAUAUGAUAGACUCGCAGAAAUCGAGCAUCACUUUCCAGGACGCUUCGCUACCAAGCAUGACGCGCAGCAGGCGACUAUGACCACGACGAGGGCGGCGCGCAGCUUCUCGAAUCCAGAGCAACGCGCCAAUGUACGUUUCGUUGUGUCAUCCUCGUCGCGGUCUGCGCAAUGAUGGCACUGCGCUAUCGGUUCCCUUCCGGCAAUUUUGUGCAAGUAUUGGCUGAAACAUCCGUGGCCGGUAAGCAUUUGUGUGAGCCGGAAGGUGAGGCAUCCGCAGUCACGGCCCACCCAGUCCGCGAGAACCAAGCGGAUUACCUCAACGGUACGGAGGCCGUCCGACGAGUCCGCCAAACGACGAGGCCACGCCUCCAGCGCGGACGUCCGAGAUUAGAGCCUCCGCACUCGAAUCACUCCUUCGCCAGGGCGACCUUUGCCCAUAGAGCGAAGGUCGCUGCGCCACCUUAGUACUGUAGUCAGCGGCGAGCGACUCCAGGAGAGUCUUCAUGCUCUACUUCUUGGCCUCGCCGAUGGCCAGCUGCAGCGUCGCCUGCCUUUGGCGACAGUCAGCGUGCAGCCGGGCCGCCGUCUCCGCGAAUGCAUCAUCGCGACGAGGGCGGCGCGCCCUCACGCACUCCUUGCGGAGUCUCGCGAUCUCGGGCGACCAUCAGAACGCAUCAGCACGUGGUGCUCGGGAGUCGAUCCAUCACAGAUUCUCUCAAUUCUGCCCCGGAACCAUUCGACCUCCGCAUUCACGUCCGCAGCAGCAGCGGCCGCUGCGAUCGAACGGGGCGCACCUUGCGGGAGCUUCUCCUCAGCGCCAGCGCCCGCAGCAGACGAGGACGAUGACGAAGAAGAGCAGGAAAGCUCGAAUGCGGGCAUUCGUUUCUUUUUUGGUUUUUUUAUUUUUUUUGGGCAAUGCAAUAUUAGUGUUGUGCAACAAAAGUAACUCGUAUUUAUAGUAGUAAAGUGGGGUACCCUAGUCAUGAAUUCUCUUGAAUACCCUCUUAAACAAUUGCUUACAUGCGUAAUUAAUCUUAGUUAACUAAAUAGUAACGUUGCGUCGACAUAAUAGGUUGGGGAAAAACUCUUUCCGCAUUAUAGUAUGUAUGAACUUGUAAUAAAAUCUCUUUGGCUAUACUAUUAGUAUCUGGCUGGUUUUGGUAUCAUUAAAAGUUUAAAUUUUAAAGUACAUAAUUCCAAAUGCAAAUUAGGAAAAUGUGUGAUUUUUAUUUAUUUUUCGUGCUGUCAAGAUGAGCGAAUCUAAUGAAGAAAUUCGAUACAUUUUAAAAUUUUACUACAAAAAAGGUAAAACUGCAACGCAAGCCGCGAAAAAAAUUUGCGAUGUUUAUGGACCUAGUGCAGUCAGUGUCUGUGAGAGUAGCACAAAUUUGGUUUAAGCGUUUUCAAUCCGGAAAGUUUGAUGUCAAAGAUGCACGUCGCUCUGGUCGCCCUAUUACGGAUAAAAUGGAUGCCAUUCAAAUGUAAAUAAACUAUAUUAAAAAAAGUUGUGAAUUUUCUUAAAAAAUGCGAAGAAACUUUUCCCCAACCUAUUAGUUGGUUAAGUUAAGCAGCGCCGGCCGCGCUCGGUUUCAAUUAAAUAAUAUGGAAUAAGUUAGCUAGGGAAGUAAAGCUGCCGCCUGAAUUAAUUAAAAUUUUUCAGUAUUGGUAUGGCAAUCAAAAUAAUAGUGUGAGAUGGGCCGGUGCGCACUCUGAUGCGUACCGUUUAGAAUGUGGUGUGAGGCAGGGGGGUCUAACCUCACCUUUGCUAUUUAGCAUAUACAUGAAUAAGCUCAUCGAUGAGCUCAGUAGUGCGGGUGUCGGCUGCAUGAUCGAUGGAGUUUCUUUUAACAAUAUUAGUUAUGCAGACGAUAUGGUAUUGCUGAGCCCAUCACUCAGGAGUGCACUCAGGAAACUUUUAAAAAUUUGUGAGAACUAUGCUGAGUCCCACGGGCUGAGGUACAAUGCCAAGAAGAGCGAACUGCUAGUGUUCAAAGCGCAGAACAAAACUUACGAGAACGUACCUCCAAUCUGGCUAGCGGGCGCAACGCUUACACAAGUCAAGCGCUUCAAGUACCUCGGUCACUGGGUAACAGAGGAUGUGCAUCCACAAUGUUUGCGACAUCUCACACCGAUGACUUCUUUGCAAUAAUGCGGAAGAGAAGUGCAUCGUUAUUGCGUCGAGUUCGUGACAGUGGCAACAGUCUUUUGAGAAUCAUAUCGAGCAAGAUCGAGGGACUGCUGAUCAAUAGCCUUUGCAGUAGGCACUUGGAAGGAGAAAAAAUAAAAUAAAAAAUGUAAUGGUAUAAAAUGUAUAUAAUGAUAGUUAUGUGUUAGAUUUUUUAAGUUACUAACAUAGAUAUAAGUAAUUACUACUAACAAAAUGUUAUGAUUUUAAAAAAAAAAAACUGAAAUAAAGUACUAAUAAUAAUAAUA